GACGAACGCUGGCGGCGUGCUUAACACAUGCAAGUCGAACGAAGAGCGAUGGAAGCUUGCUUCUAUCAAUCUUAGUGGCGAACGGGUGAGUAACGCGUAAUCAACCUGCCCUUCAGAGGGGGACAACAGUUGGAAACGACUGCUAAUACCGCAUACGAUCUAAUCUCGGCAUCGAGGAUAGAUGAAAGGUGGCCUCUACAUGUAAGCUAUCACUGAAGGAGGGGAUUGCGUCUGAUUAGCUAGUUGGAGGGGUAACGGCCCACCAAGGCGAUGAUCAGUAGCCGGUCUGAGAGGAUGAACGGCCACAUUGGGACUGAGACACGGCCCAGACUCCUACGGGAGGCAGCAGUGGGGAAUCUUCCGCAAUAGACGAAAGUCUGACGGAGCAACGCCGCGUGAGUGAUGACGGCCUUCGGGUUGUAAAGCUCUGUUAAUCGGGACGAAAGGCCUUCUUGCGAAUAGUGAGAAGGAUUGACGGUACCGGAGUAGAAAGCCACGGCUAACUACGUG
rnacentral:rRNA from 1 species